CAUGUCUGUGAUGGCCCCCUCCUUCUUCUGCAAUUAUUUCCAAGUCACACCUGCUAAGCUGUAGGGAAGCAUUCCCAUUGUUUGUGGGUGAGAACACAGUCAGUCAGCGAUGCAUCGCACUCGUAAAACCCCAGGGGACUGGGACACGCAGAUGUAAGCUGAACAGAUCUCUUUAGGAAAAGGUACCGGAUAGAUUUCCUGAUGGAUCUGCAGGAGAAGGCGGCAGAGCAGGAGGAGUACCCUGGCACUUCAGACUCUCACUGGAAGAUGCUGAUGGCAUAGCUGCUGAUGACCCCUGCAUAGUCUGGUGCUUCUGGUGCAGGGCCACAACUACAGACAGGUGGGACCAUAUCAUCAUGCAGACUUGGGAUGACCAGCAUCAAAGUUUGUGUCUGUAUAUGUGACAGUUCUGCCACAGUUCCAAAUGGAACUCAGGGAAUACUCAGACAAGUGUUUGUUGCUCAGCAGAAGGAUUGCAGCAUCAAUUCAUAUUGUCAAGUAAACUAAUGAAUACACCAGCAGGACUGGAUAUGAAAUGACUUUCCAAUCUUUUCUAUUUAUAUUAUAUUCUGUUAGUGUGAAAUUAUUCAAGAGGUAUACCUGAUAAUGAUCUGCAAUUGUUCUGCUUGCAUUUUCAUGUGGGAGAGAGACAGAGUUUGGGGUAGAGCAUCUGAGUGGUGUACAGAAUGUUUAUUUAACAAACCACUCACAUUUAGUUUUUGAACAUCAUUAAUUUCCUGUAUAGCUCAUUCAUUAAUAAGAUUUUCUGUAGUAUUUAUUGUGGUAUAAUGGGUCUUCUCACAUAAGUAAAUGUUGAAGAAAUGGGCCCCAAUCAGCUAAGGUCUUGGGGCCAGAUUUACAAAGAUAGUUAGGCACCUACCGAUAUAGAUGCUGCCUAGUGGAAUUUACAAACAUAUUUAAGUAGGUUAGGCACCCGAGUCCUAUUGAAAUCAAUGGCAGUUAGGCACUUAACCUGCUUAGUUACUUUUGAAAAUCCUACUAAUCUCCUACCUGGAUCUUUAGCUACCCAAAUACAUUUGCAAAUCUUGCUCCUAGUCCUUCUCCUGUUGAACUCAGUGGUAGUUUUGCCAUUGACUUCACUGAAAGUGGAAUCAGGUUCUUGUACUUUAGUAUUUAUUGACUGCAAUAAAAUCCGAUUAAUAGGAAAAAAUAAAUUCAUUUUCUACUCUGUCAUCCACAAAGAACUGUAUUAAAUAAAGAAGGUACAAAUAUCAAGGGCUAUCAAGGACUGAAGUUCAAUACAUAAGUGUUGGCUGCUGAAAUUAUUGCAGACACUGAUUAU